GUCUGAAUUUUUCCAAAUUGCACAGUGAACUGUUCAAAAUACCCCAAAAGCAUAGCCUAUAGCAAUACUUAAAACAGCUCUGUAAGGUGAGUCAGUCUUAUUAUCCCCAUAAUGCAGAUAGGGAGAUUGAUGCUGAGCAAGAUUGGCUUUCCUAAAACCAUGGCAGAGUUGAGAUUUGAACCAAGAACUUCCUGUUGCACAUGCUCCCUGUUGUUUUUGCCCUGAGAUGUGAGAUUAUGAGUGGCAUAGCACAGGGGAAAAGCGAACAGUAGAAAACUUCUAUAAUCUGAUGAUAAAUGGGGACCUGGAAAAACUCUUGUUUACAACAGAGGCAAAUAGAAGCUGCUGAUGGAUUAUGUGACACAUGAUGAAUAUUUUUAACAGUUAGAAGAUAUUGUAAAUUGCUGAGACAGUGACAAUGGGAAAUAGCAAGUGAAAGAAAGAUACUGUCUGAUAGCUAACGAAAAGCAAUUUUAGUCAGGUUUCUUGCCACUUGCAAAAUCAUCUUCUUGGUCCCAGCAUAAAGAUAAGCAUCAGCAAAUGGUCUGUUGUAAAGGAUGGACAAUAAUGAGGUGAUUAGUCUAGCUGAAUAAAUGGAGACAUAUUAUCUGAAAUGUCGUUUUCCUUAAUCUGUAUUAUUAUCUUGGAAUGGAGUUCUUCUUAAUAUUUGAAUUCUGCCUAAAUCGCAAAGAAUCAAAUUUGUUCUUGCCUUGCUUGCCUCUAUAACGUCAAAGCCAAUGGCUUUCUGAAUCAUCCACAACAGAGCACUUAUUGUUUGAGUGUGCUCCUAGAUUCAGCCCUGAAUCUGUGAUGCCCUAGAGCUCUUUUGCAUAACUAAGGGUACUGCACCAACUGCAUCCAGUCCUGAAGACGUUAGAUCUGUCCCUGGUGGUGUGCGCCUUACUCAUUUGCACAGCUGUAACACACUGUACACAAAUCUGUCUGCAUUUGAAGAGUGUUUGGAAACUUUAGCUGGUUCUGAACAUUGCAGCCAUACUAUUGGCUGCGAACCAGGUAUAGUUAGCUUGUGACUCCCAUGUUACCACAGUGGCAGUGGCCACCAAUCCAUUACUAGGCACAAUUCAAAAUGCUGGUUAUGACCUACAAAGCCCACUAUUACUUUAGACCUGAAAGACUGUGUUUUCCAACAUGAACUUGUAUGGGGUUUAAGAACUUCUGGAGAGGUCCUUCUUUCUGUCCCACCAAAACUUUAAGAAUGUUUGGUGUGAAGUCAAGGGAGCCUUCCCAGUGGCUGUUCCUGGGCUUUCAAACACAUUGGUUGUGUUAACUGCUAAGCACCUUUAUAUUGGAAGGGAGGGUAUAAAUAUGAUUGAUACCUAGUCAGACAGACAUUGAUAGGUUCCCCAUCCUUUAUUGAAAAGUACACACCUGCUUGAUGUCACCAGUGUUUCUCCAAAAGGCAAGUGGCAUCUUUAUAACUCCUUGCUCAUACUUUCAGCAUUUGGAUCUAUUAUCGCAAAGAAACCAGGUAUGUUCACCUCACCUCAUUUGUGUCUCCUAAUAACAUCCACUCUAGCCAUCUUGAGAUAACAUGAGACAACUCUUCAGAUGUCUAAUUAUUUUUCUACACCUGGGAUCAUAUGGAACUGCUAAGUAAUGUGUGGGUGGGAGGGAAGCAAGCACAUAGCAUCCAGAAGGAGGAACGCUAUAGGUUGUUCUGUCUGUUUGGUAGGCUGUUCUUCGCCCACUGCAGGUUCCUCAUCUGUGGGAGAAACAAGGGGGAAUGACAAAUCUAGUUUCCUUCUGGAAGGAAAAUAACAGCUGCUAAAUGAUAAUUGCCAAGCAGCUGCGAGGAUAAACAAACCCACAAGCAUGCGCUGCUGUUGACCCCCUAGAAGGAAACAUAAUUUCCUACUGCUCCACACAGCAGCUAUUUGCUAAAGAAAAACAAAGGAAGAAACAUUUCUAAUUAUUGAAAGGAUUUCUUGUGGCUUUCCUUUUAAUGAAGAAUUCUGAUGGUUUGCACUGGUUUUUAAGCAAGAGCCAGAGAUGUAAAGCAAGGAAUCAUCUCCAAGUGCUUGCAGCUUGCAGAAUGCAUCAGCUUUUGCAGAGUUGACUGGUGAGGAAAUAGACACAGCCUUGAUAUCACCCCCCACCCCCACCCCAAGGAAUCCAGGACCGUAAUGGAAUUGUAAAAGGAGAUCUUUUGAUAUUUUUCUUUUCUUUUUGCUUCUGUCUAUUCUGUGGGUCCCUGAAGGAAACAUUAUGUCUUGUACACACACCAAGAGCUGUAGUGACUUGUUUUCUGGAUCAAAAUAGGGGACUUCAGGGGACAUUAAUUGGAUCCACAUCCAGUUUUUCAAAGGUUCACAUUCAUUUGUGUGGCACCAUUUUGUUCCCUCCUGUAUUUACUACAAAAAAAUAAUAAUCCUAGUUUCACCCUGCCCUGUUUUUAGAUCUGGCUUCCACCCCAGUCUUUUCUCAUACAAGAAUGCCUCUCAGUGCCCUCAGGCUGUGUUAUUGAUUAUGUCCCUCUUUCUGCUUGGUUUCACCUGUUUCUUGGCCUCGUUUGUCAGAUGCAAUAUGCCAGUCAAUUCCAUUAAGCAUAUGUGAUGAUUAAUUGCAGAAUAGCAGUGCAUACUUUGCAGGACCUCCUGCAAAAACCUACACAAGAACAAAACCAAAAAAGUUUUAGUUUAUGUCAACAGCAUAUUGUUUUCUUGAUAGGGUAAAUGUUAAUUGUCUGUUUCUUUCUAUUAUUUUAAUUUUGUUUUGUUAAUGUUACAAAUCUUCUUAUGGAACAUAUAUUCCAUAAGUUGAGAAGUUUUUAAUAUUUAAUACACAGUUGUGUUUUUAUACUAUGUUGGAAGCUGCCCAGAGUGGCUAGGGAAACCCAGUCAGAUGGGUGUGGUGAGGUAUCUUUUUUGGCCAAUAGUCUGAUCAAACAGGGCUCCUAUUUGUGAUCCUUCCAUCAGUAAACUGAUGAGAGUCAUUUAUUUAUUUUGCUAGUUCUUGACCUUUAUUCUUUUUCUUAUGUUGUUUCUGUCUGUCUGUCCUCUUCCAUCAGGAACUCAGCUGUCUCUCUGUGCCUCAUCCUUUUCCUGUGCUCGUGGUCAUACAAUGGGGCUGUCUCAUUUUAUCACUAUGAAGAAGAUUAAAUGCAGAGAUGAUGAACAGUCCCUGCCUCCUUCUUCCACAAAUGUUCCCCACCACAAUGUUUACUGUCAUUAUGGUGGCUAAUUGUAGCUGAGCAAUCCUUGCACUGCAGAGAUCAUGCCUUCCCAGUAUAACUGUUUCUCCCAAGCAAAUAUAAUGGUUGUUGUUGUUUAGUCAUUUAGCCGUGUCUGACUCUUCGUGACCCCAUGGACCAGAGCCCGCCAGGCACUCCUGUCUUCCACUGCCUCCCGCAGUUUGGUCAAACUCAUGCUGGUAGCUUCGAGAACACUGUCCAACCAUCUCAUCCUCUGUCGUCCCCUUCUCCUUGUGCCCUCAAUCUUUCCCAACAUCAGGGUCUUUUCCAGGGAGUCUUCUCUUCUCAUGAAGUGGCCAAAGUAUUGGAGUUUCAGCUUCAGGAUCUGUCCUUCCAGUGAGCACUCAGGGCUGAUUUCCUUCAGAAUGAAUAGGUUUGAUCUUCUUGCAGUCCAUGGGACUCUCAAGAGUCUCUUCCAGCACCAUAAUUCAGAAGUAAGGUACAUUCACAAUUUGGGACAGAUCAUGCAAUAUGCUAUGUAAUAUUUUUAGCACUAUCUGUAAUAUAAUGCUCACUGCAGCAUAUCAUGACCAGUGCUACAAAAUUUGACAAGGCACAAAUAAAUAGCAAAUAGCAAAAAUAAAAAGAAAUAUUGCUGACGCUACUAAAGUUGGUGAGGUUUGCAUUUUGUCACAACUAUGGAAUCAAAAGCUGCUGAAACAAUGUAGGGAUGUGCAGGUAAUGGAAGAAUGCUCCAGUUCUGGGAGAAUUCCUUCAUCCCAUCUUCUAUCAUUCUCCGCACAAGCACUAGCUUUGAUUACAGGGAAUGGGGUGAGGCCCCUUCAGUCUUCAUUAGGCUCAGCUUAAUGUUCAAAAACUAACCCAGUGGGCAUAAAGGAAGUCUGGGUAUGCAAAACUUUCAUAUCUGUCCUACCGCCACUUGCUUGUUAGCCCCUUCUUCCCUACCUGUUCAUGGUUACCAUAGCAAUGGCAAUUGCUAAUCCUAAUGCUGCUUGAUGCAUUCCCCAUGCCCCUUCAGCUGUGCCAGGAUGAAGGAAAGAAGAAUUUCCCCCACUCCAAUGUGGCAUUAUCUUAAAUGCCAAAUCUGACUAAAGGAAAUGCUUCUUACCUUCACAUAGUGUCACAUAGCCAAGCCUGGCUACAUGGUGCAAUCGUAAAGCCAAAUCAGAGGAAGAGUUUGAAGCAUUACCUUCACUCUGAUAUGGCUUUUUGUCAUCACAUAGCUAGUCUGUUUUUGCAGCGUGAUGAUGGCACGACACCAAACUGAGUAGCUAAAGAGUAGGGGUGGGGAAAAUGGCACUGGGCAGCUGCAGGGAGCAUGGUCACCACCCAAGGAAAAGUGUUUUGCAGUACACCUUUGAAUAAUUUGCCCCAUUUGGGUUUUCCUUGCCCAAAGAAUCUCUAAUGGCGUUUUUAUAGCCUGUGAACAACACAAGGAAACUGAGGUUUGAUUCAGUUCCACCCCAGUUGUCAUCCCUUCAUGCAUUAUUUUCUUAUACCACCUAGAGGAAAAACAGUGGUGGGCAGCUGAUUUCAGACUGACAUUCAUCUCCUCCUACUCUUGAUCAUGGUUGUUUUAUUUGUACCAGUUGCAGAAGACAAGAGAAUUUUGUCGUGUCUCAGCAUUUUCUAAGGAGAGUUUCAGUUUCUGUAAAAUCGUGCCAACUAUAGCAGCUGCUUGAACUCGGAGUUCUCAACAGAUUUUAACAGUACACAGAAAAUGGAUCUAUGCAACUUUUUUUUUUUUUUUGCACUGAUAAGAAGCCUCAUUGCUUGUUUCCCAUUGCCUUGCAUACUUUAAUUUUAAAAAGAGACAUACUAAAAUAGUCAGCACAAUCCAUUCCCCCUUUUGCUCAGUACAUUUUGGAUUCUAAAUGAGUAUGACAGGGGAAAAAAUCUUACUCCAAAAGGAAGUACACAGAGAGAAACUGAAUGUUCAGUUAUUUGUCUCUCUGCCCAUGUAUCAAUUUAGCCUGUCAAUUAAUAUUGUUUCUCUUGAAACUUUAUAUAUAAACAAAACCCUGGACAGCCAUGGGAAGUAUAACAUGUGUUGCAGAUGCAUUAGUAAGAACAUUCCUAUGACAAAUACAAGCUUCCUUGUCUCAAAAAAACAGGCCAGAAGGCCUAGAAUGACUUAUCUGCCUUCACUUACCAUCACUGAUCUUUCUUUCUUUGCAAACUCCCAUUUGAUAUUGUUGGUAGGGCUUAGCAUCAACUUAAGGCGGGACAGUUACUAGUGAGAGGAAGGCUUACAGAACACAUAAAGGAUCUAAGUUUUAGUUCAGUGUUGUCAGGACCUUAUCCAGGCAACUGCAGCGCAAUAAAUCUUUGCUCCCAAGGGUUAGAAAUUUCCUGAGCAGUGCUAAGGAUGGCCUAGUUCCCAAGAGCCUUAAAACACCCUUUACACCCUUCUUUCUAGCAUCCAGGUCUUGGACAAGAACAACAUGCUUAGUGCUGAGCACCAUUUGCAUUUUGGCCAAUUUCUCAGGGUGUGUGUGCCAUCCUGUCCCAGAAUUCCCUGUAAGAGUGGCGUCCAUCAUUAUGCAACUUUGUUCCUGGGGACCUUUUGGGAAAGGGAAAUGGUGGCCAUCAGCCCCUGGGAGAAGUUUUGAGGAGCAGCUGUGAGUUUCUUUCCCACCUUGUCUUUCUGCUUCUUCCCAUGAAAUCUCCUGGCUAGGUUCACCACUCUGUCUAACUCUCACAACCCUCCCCCUUCAAAUUAGAGCCAAAAUAUCUUGUCUAAGAGCUUUAAGCUCAGAACUAAAAUAAUCAAGUGCAGUAACAAAAACAGACAAACCAGAAUUACACAAGUGCAAUUAUAAAAUAAUUUGUAGCUUAAGGGGGGGGGAAUCGAAAUGCAAAAUAGACAUUGGUACAUCUGCAAAUGUAAUGGUUACAAGGUCAUUCUCAACAUUAUAGAAAAUAGAGAAGCAAAAUGAUUCUUAGUGGUACUAGAGACAAAUCAACAAGGAAAAAAGACAGUUGCUUCCACGUCAGUCUUUAAACUAUAGUCUGAAGCCCUUUCUAUCAGCAAGUGGUACUGCAUGCAUGUUGAACACUGAACACAUACCGCUAGUCAAUUUGCAAGCCAACAGAAACUUUUUUAGUGAUGAGUAGUAUGUAGCACAUCAAAGGCACAAUUGCUCAAAAACUGAAAUAAUGUAUUAAAAGGACAUGGAUAUUAUGCAGGCUCCAAAGCAGAUGGGACAAUCAAAUGGAGAGAAAGAGGGAAAUUAUAAAAUGGGAAAUGAUAUCAUUGCCAGGUUGACAGAUCUUACAGAAUAAAAAUCCUAGGAAAAAAUAUAUAGUUCUAGCAAUUUAAACAAGGUAUUAUUAUCAAAUGCUUGCCACAUAAGAAAUCUUACCUGAUCUUGCAAUGCCUGUGCGGGAUGAAAAAUAUGGAUUCUGGCAAGUCUCGUUAGAUGAAUAAUGCCACUAUCUUGCUACAAUUGAGACUUCAAAAGGCCAUUACUGAUAGCAACGGAUCCUAUCGAAAUAAAACCAGCGGCAGACAGAGAAAUAUCAGUACCACCAAUGGAAUGUGUCUUUUAAAGCAAAUCAGUGUCAAAAGAGCUGAAAUUGUAAUGUAUGGCUAUAGAGACAUGAUAGAGAAAAGAGUAGCCUGCUAAUACUGCAAUCUCAUUUGUCUCCUACAAAGGGCCAGAAAAAUAAACCUAAAAUCCAGCAAAAAUAAAGUGAGGCUCUGUCUUACAACAGUACCUUGCAUGGCACAUCCUGGAUCCUCACAAUUUGCAACCGGGCUUUGAAAGGGCAAUUCAACAAAUUGCAGAGCACCCAACCUGGUCAUCUUACAUCAUUUACUAAGAGAUAAUUACACUGCACACUUUCACAGGUUAAUUCUUUAACAGCUCUUAGAUCCGUCUGGACCCAGCGGCUGCUUAAAUUGUAUUCAUUGGUAAAACCAAGAAGUUAAUCUUCCAAGUGCCCUCCCUUGACUGAGACACAAGUAUCUGGUGGUCUGUGUCUUUCUUGGUGAAGCAAAGAAUUUGCUCAUCUCCUCUAGAAAAUCCUUACGUUCCUUUAACAUUCUUUUAAUAUGCUCAUCCAGGUUUUACAGAGGUCAGAAUUCUGAUCAGUGGCGCAGCAAAUGUUGUGUGAUAUACUAAGUAACAAGGCCUCUGCAUCUGGGACAGUAUUAAAUGAUCAGGGCACAUGCUUUCUUAACCAACCAGCCUCAACAUCUUGAAAGUAUAGCACAGAACUGUAUGUGUUUCCUUAAAGAUCAAUAAUAUAGAUUUUGCUCCCUUUCCCAUGCAAACAUUGCUGGAGUCAGUUAGUGUCUGUAGCGCAUAAGUAACUUUAUUAACAGUUUGAUGCAUGGCUUCCUUUGCAAAUAUAAAAUCAUUUAAUCAGUUUAGUUUACCAGGGCACAAGAGUAAUGGAUUAUUGCUACAAGCACAUGUUCAAUUGUGGUGAGCCUUUUCCUUCAGUACUGGACUAGGCUCUCUGCCCCAGAACUCUCCCUCAUUGUUUCUGGUUUUUCAGGAGCAAGUUUUAAUGGUAUAACUAUUUAGUAAAAGCAACAACAACCCACACAAAGAAUUGUGCCUAAUCAAACAGAAUUUUGUGAUCUAUUUCCCAUGUUGGUCUUCAGAGCUUCACUCAAAUUACUGAUGGUCUACAUUAAGAUUUUGCUGCAGUCAUUUGUGCUUUUGUUUUAUAAAGUAGGCUCAUAACAUUUCUUGAGAUAUGUCCAGCACAGCCCUAUACAUCUCUUGAGCUUAAUGGACCAUACUCCCAAGUAAUUGUAUAUAGCACUGUAGCCUAACACAGUAUAAAUACCUUUUAAUAUUUAUUUAGUCACCUCACAAAAUAAUUUCUAUAGGCAACGCAAAUGGGCAUCAAACAGAAAAAAAGAUCUGCUGGAGAUCACUUCAGGUACAAUAGCUUUUGCUGUGACUGUCCCUUUAAGAUGGCCCCAAUCUGCCUCACCAAGAGACAAGGCUGCUGCUACUCAGCCUGCACAGGGGGAAGCAGGGCAGGAUAGGAGCACCUGCUACUGGAAGGGCUGUUGAGGCUUAGGAGCUUAAAUAGCCCAGAAGAAGCAAUUGCCAGAGAGGCAGAAAAUAGUUUCCUGGAAAAGGAGCCAAGCUGAGCUGAGGGUCUCUUGGCUCCACUACAGGUCCUUCUUCCACCUGCAAUGGAACACAGAAGGCCCCAACCCCAUAUGACAAGGAUUUGGGAGGACCAGACCAUAUCUUAAGGAGGGGCCAGCAGCAGAGCCCCUGGACCUUUCAGUCUCCCAGCACCCACACCUUGGAUAAGGAGGUCUUGGGAUGUACCAGCUGAGAAGUUGUAUUUGUACUGCCUGAGACGGGCCUAUGGAGCUGGGAGCUUGAUCCUGUACCUAAUGCUAAACCUCAGCAAACCAUGUGUAGCUAAGCUACAUUUGGCAUGUCAGAUCCUCAUCUGGGGCUCAACAUACUAGGGAGUCUACGGACACUGAAGCUUUGAAGGUGCCCCUUCUGCAGGUUGACAUCACAGUUAAACAGUAAAAUUACAGGGAAUUCAACACUGAAUCUAAACAAAGCAUAAAGGAAUAACACAAAUGCCAACCACAGCAAUGAAACAUUCAAUGCAUAAGAAUAAUCCCAAGCCAAAGUAUUGGCAAUUCUAGUUUGGAUCUUGUCAGGGCAUGAACAGAUGACAGUUUAAGGAACUGGGUGCAUAUUCCAUGAUGGAAGAAAUGUGGGAUAUAUUAAUCAGAUCUAUUAAUUUAUGAUCCAUUUAUGUUAUUGAUGUGAUUUUAUUGUUGAUUUUAUGUUGCUUACCAGUGUUAUAGUUUUAAGGUUGGAGUUUUAAGGUUGGUUUUAAGGUUUAAGGUUGGAGGAUUUUAUUGUUGAUUUUAUGUUGCUUACCAAUGUUAUAGUUUAAAGGUUGGAGGUGGAGAAAAUCUCCUAAAUAAAUAAAUAAAUAAACAAACAAACAUAAAAAGUAAAAAAUAAACAAGAAUAGCAGAGGAAGAUAAAAUGGGAUUUCAAAACUGUGCAUUUUGAGCUUCCAAUCCUCUGAAACAAGGGGUGGAUGGUCUACAAUUCCUCAGAUAUUUCCUUCUGUUCAUCUGGUUAGCGAUAUGUAAGCAUCCUAUGGAUCUUUUGCAACUUUUUUUUAAAAAAAAUAAUACACACAUAGUUUAUCAGUGUUGUUGAAUGAACAGUAUCAAGGCUGCAAUAAUAGCCAAUAUCAGUCAGACUAAAUAAUAAGGAAACUGCUUCUAGGCUCUUGAGCCUGAUGCUUUUUCAAUAGAAUUGUCAGUCUCUUUUUAAAUGCAAAUUGUGACUCAUCAUCUGGGGAUCAUCACAAGCUCCAGAGAAGCACUAGAGGCAAGUGAAUCCAUCCAGUUCAUUAAACUGCAUCCCCUUGUAAUGAAAAGUAUCAUUCUCUCAAGAGCGUUGACUAGCGAAGUUCGCUCUUGGCAGAGUCUGCUUUGCUAGGAGCAUGUGAUAUUUUAGCUACAGAAGAGAAUGCAAGUUUCAUUACUCAAAUGCAAAUUUAGCCUGUGGGGAGGAAAAAACUUUGAUCCUGAAAAUGUGCUACUAGCAGGGUUCUGAAGAUUCAAAACUUAAACAAGAUGGCGGACAUCUGGGUAUCCCUACAGACUGAAGGACAUCAAGGACAUCUGGUAAAACCGAGUGGGAUUCUAGGAAAGCCUUCUUAAUUUUGGUUGGAUUUACAUCAAAGUAAAAUAUAAUUAGAGCUGCAGUCUUAGUUAAAAUUUAAAGGAGCAAUUUAGGAAGCUGUUUGCUUAUUGAUGUUUUUAUUCAUUUAUAAUAGCUAGGUACUGCUAAAAUGUAUUUUUUUCUGAUUAGUAGUCUGGUAGAGAGAAGUUUUUCAGUUAAGCUCUUCAAAAUGAAUUAUCCAUGGUGUGUAUUGGCAUCACAAUACAACACUGAAGUAUUUAAAAGCCACUCAGGAAGUAGCAGAAUUGUCACACAAAGAGAUAGGCAGGCUCGGUCUUGGAUAUUAAUCCAGUCAUUUCACCCUAGCACAAGCACUCUAUUGGGUACCCAAGCAAAAGCUGAGGUUUAUUCUUUUCCAGUAGUUUACUGCAUUCUUCACAAAUCCAUGCUGCAAAACACUACGACAUUGUGUUUUCUACCUAUCAUAAAAUACUAAAGAGCAUUUUAAACCUGCCAAAAAUAAAGUUGAGAUCCUGGAUCCCAGUGUGGAAUGUUCCACAGAUUCUACAAUAAUUAAAGAAAUAGUUUAACAGAUAGCUCAUAUGUAUGAGCCAAUCCCUUUCCCGAGAGCAUUGGGUGAAAGGGGGAUUUCUGGCAACACUGGACCCAAGAAAUCCAAUACAGAAGACCUAAAGGACAGUAUGUACACAUGCAUUGAAAUACAUGGACAAUUAAAUAAGUUACCUUCUAACUGGGAUUGGAUGCCAUAAAUAUGCAUGAAACCCAUUUAUUAUCUCUUGCAUACAAAUGAAUGCAGUUCCUACGGAGGGAAAGUAAAGCAGUGCUCUUGGGCAGGGGGUAGGCAUGAAUACACUAAGAAGGUCCCCAACCUGUCCUCCAUCCCUGAGACCAGGAACUAUGUUUUCUACUGGCACUGAUCCCAUAGACCUCUGUGUGCAGUGUGAACUAAUGGGACAAGGAGGGAAGAGGGAAAAGGAAAUCAAACCGAGGCACCUGUUCUUAAAGAAUUGUUCUUAUAAUGCAGGGGUCAACAAAAUUUUUUAGCUGCAGGCCGGUCCACUGUCCCUCAGACCUUGUGGCAGGCUGGAGAAGUGGCACCGGGGGGCAGGAGCUGGAAGAAGAGGCGAGGGGGGCAAGUAGUCCUCCUCCUCACCCCCCCCCCAGCCCCAGCCGCUGUGCUUACCUUCCCUGGGGCUGCUGCCACCACCACUGCUGCUGCUUCUCAUGGGUAAGCAGAGCAAGCUUGUCUGCUCUGCUCUCUGGCCCAAAGGAGCACCAAGGCAGCGGCGGAGGGAAGAUGAGCAACAUGAAAAGGCUGGCUGCGGAGAGGAGCUGCUUAAAAUGGCGCUCAGCAAGCUCAGCCCAGCCCCCUUCCUCCUCUAGGCAGCGCAGGGAGAAGCCAGGAGGAGGGAGGGAGGAGGCGCCACCGCUGUGUGUGUGAGGGAAGGGGGGGAAAUGGAAUGGCGCAGGGGGAAAAUGGUUCAGCCCGAAGGAACAGAAUCCCCACUCUGAUGUAAGGACAGCUGGAUCCUGAAGGCAAUAGGGCCUGAUUUGGCUCACGGACCUUAGUUUGCCGACCCCUGUUAUAAUGACCAGCUGGGACAUUUCAGGGGUAGGAAGGAGCCUGAUGGAGCUGGGCUUUUGGCAGAGCUAAUGAAGCUUCUAGGGGUGCGGGUGGCGCUGUGGGUUAAACCACAGAGCCUAGGGCUUUCCGAUCAGAAGGUUGGCGGUUUGAAUCCCUGCGAUGGGGUGAGCUCCUGUUGCUUGGUCCCUGCUCCUGCCAACCUAGCAGUUCAAAAGAACAAAGUGCAAGUAGAUAAAUAGGUACCGCUCCGGCGGGAAGGUAAACAGCAUUUUCGUGUGCUGCUCUGGUUUGCCAGAAGUGGCAUAGUCAUGUUGGCCACAUAACCCGGAAGCUGUACUCCAGCUCCCUCGGCCAAUAAAGUGAGAUGAGCGCCGCAACCCCAGAGUCGUCCAUGACUGGACCUAAUGGUCAGGGGUCCCUUUACCUUUACCUAAUGAACCUUCUGCUUCCCAUCUCUGCCACUGAGGCAGCCUGAUGGAAUGGCUGCACCCAGGAGACAAUUGCAGGAGAAGAGGCCUGAUGUGGCUGGCAUGGCAUUCCCUUUGAGAGGCCCAUCAGUGGAAGCCACAGCACCCAGGGAUGAUGGAUUAUAUCAUCUCUGACAUCGAAUCUGCACUUACUACUUCCACUGAUAUGAACUCCUGUGCAUCCCCUCCUUUGCAGCACAACAUUUACAGGUGCGGACCCUCCAAAUGUCCCUAUUUUCCAGGGAAGUCCCUGAUUUAGGGAAGCCUUCCUGGUUUCUGAUUUAAUCCUAGAAUGUCCCACUUUUCCUUAGGAUGUCCCUAUUUUCAUUGGAGAAAUGUUGGAAGCAUGGAGUUAUCUGACCCCCAAGCUGUCUGAAGGCAAUCUUGUAUAGGGAAGUUUUUUUUUUUUAAAUGUUUACUGUUUUAUUAUGCUUUUAUAUAUGUUAGAAGCUUCCCAGAGUAGCUGGGGUGACCCAGUAAGAUGUGUAGGAUGUAAAUAGUAAAUAGUAAAAUAAAUAGUAAAAUUAUCAUUAUGGAAUGGGACGUCUUUAUUUUCAUCAGGGAAAUGUUGGAGGGUAUGCAGGUGCCACCGGUCAUAUGGGUCAGGAGCUCAAAGUUAUCCUCACUGUACAGGAAAGCACAUCUGGCAGGAAGCGUUUUUCGAGUGACCUUGCUCCAACAGCCCAUAUGAAGGACGCUUCUGCUAGGAAUAAUGCUGGAACAAAAUUACAGGAUUUAAGGAUUUCAUUGAUUUUAAAAAAAACAACAAACCACCCUUCAAUAUAAGAACAUAAGGAGAGCCCUGCUAGAUCAGACCAAAGACAUAUCUGGUUCAGCAUUAUGCUCUCCCAGGGGCCAACCAGAUGCCCCAAUGGGAAACCCGUAAGCAGUAUCCAAGCACUAGAUCGCUCUCCCCACCUGCAAUUCCCAGUAAGGUGUUGUAAGCAUCACUGAGCUAAUGUAUAUGAAAUUAUUUGAGCACUUGAAAAGCAUGUAGGUGUCAGGGGCAUCUUACCCAUAGAGGCUAGUGGCACGGGGUGCCAGGGUGCCAAGUUCUGGAGGGCACCAGGGAAGAGGAGGAGGCUGGACGUGGCGCCUCCCUCCCAGCACCAGCUUGCCGCCCUCGCCUGCCUCCGCCAUGCCGUGCCGAAGCAGCGCUGUCCUCCCUAAAAAAAGGUUGACAAUUCUGGGAAAUGGGGGGUGGGUGGAGGGAGCUUUGCACCACGGCACCGGAUAUGCUUAAGACGGCCCUGGUAGGUACAUAAAUAGAUAUGAAUGAUUAUUAUAGUCAGUUGUGUGUCUCCUGGCAGCUUUCAAAACGCAGCCAUCUUUCUCCCCAGCAUGGUCCAGUUGGAGCUCAAUGGGUGGGGGUCCUUGCCCACUUUUGCCCCCAACAACACACUAGAUUCAGAUUGUAAUAUACUGGUGCUUUUUAGAUGUUCAUUCUUUGGAGAUGUUCAGUCUACUGACUUCAUAUGUACAAACAUUACAUGCAACCAAGAACUUGCCUGGGGAGGCACAUUUGUUCCAUCUCCAAUUAUGGUACAAUAAAAAACCAACACCACCCCUCAUAUGAUAUUAUGCCUGUGGAGGAAUGGAUUAUGUAAAAAUUUUUCCAGCUAUUUAGUUACAGAAAAUGGAUGCAGCUAAAAGGGUAUAAAGGGCGCAGUGAGAACACUGAAGCGCCAUGGUCCCUUUGAUGCAUCAAUUCUACAUCCAAUCACUGCAUGUAAAUUACCUGUCUGAAGUUAUACAAGCUCUUCAGUUAGGCUAGCAGUGCCUACUGGUAAUUUAUUUAGAAGCAAAAAAAAAGGGGGGGUGGGGGAGAAGAAGGAGAAGGAAAAGUUUUGAAAUUAUUAUUCUCCCCACCCCCACCCAUCAACAUUCCCAUGGUCAUGAAUAAGUAUGUCUCAUUUGCUGCAAUUUCAAUCUGAAAGAGUUCUUCCAUUGGGGAUGUGUUUACCUCUCGUGGCCUGCUACUGUGAAAAUUGGUUUUCUAGCCAUAUUGGAGGAACAAGCAAUUUAUAGUGCUAUAUUAAAUUGUUCAAUUUCCCCACACAUUCUAUGGUUUAUGGCAUUACUACAUAUGCCGCAAUGCUAUCGCUUAGGAAGGUGGGUAGGGUAAUGUUUUAAUGUGUUUUUUUUAUCCCAUAACACCCCCCCACCGAUUUGUACUGUAGUACAGGAUACACUGAAGAUUGAAGUGUAAAUAAAGGAAAGCAUUUCAGAAAAACAAAAAUGGCGUUGGUAGCUACUGUAAAGGUUUAGUGUAAGAGAACAGUCUCACAAAUGCAAAGGAUAAAUUAAUUCCUGAUUAAGUGAAAAGGUGCUUUCCAUAUAAGUAACCUGAAGUGGGCAACAUCUAAGGAUUUGACUAUAUUCUGUUUUUCAGGUUGGUUAGUUAAGCUUUCAUUUCCUGGCAAACAAUGACGGGUGCAACUACUCAGCGACAAAGUAUUCCUUGAAGGUACUUCCCAGUGUUCAAGUUAGGAUACUCCAGCCCAUCUCCUUCUCCUGCUUUCCUUAAAGGAUAAAAUUACUACUGGCCUUUUGUCUGAGGCUGCAGUUCUAACCCCACUUAUCUUGUAGUAAGCCCUUUUGAAUUCAGAGGGACUUGCUUCUAGGUAGACAUGGUUAAGAUUACAGCUUCACUUUUGUGCUCUGUCCCCAUCAUAUCCCCAGAUAUAGACCCCAGACAUAUAACAUGGUUCCAAUGGCUUUCCACUGUGGGAAGUCAUCCUGCUAUGCUAUAAAAGAAGCACUCGUUUGGGCAAGACAUUGGCAAUGUAUUCUGUUUACAUGCUGCCAAUCAACCCAGCCAGUGAAGCAGCACCUCUGGGGGGAGGAGGUCUCCAUUUUACUAUCAGGAUGGGCAUUUUAGCCUAGGUAAAGCUGAGGUGAUGUCUGCCUCAGUGCUGCUCUCUUGUGAUGAACUGUAAAGAAGCCUUAUGUAGGAUGAAUUAGGACCACGUCAAAGGGCUAUAUGGAGGCCUCCACCCCAAGAAAACAGUGCUGGUUCAACAACUGUCAGGGUAUAUCAUGUUUGCAAAGUGGAUUUGCAGUUCCAUAUAGCAAAAGUAACUUUUUAAAAGCUCCUGCACAUGUUUAAAUUUACUCAAAUGCCCUUGAGAUAAGAUUAUAAGAAUCACAAAUGCCACUGUUGCGGAUGAUUUUUAAUGCCCCUCCACUUUAAAGAGCAAUCUUUUGAGGUUUCCAUCCCUUCACUUCAUUAAGAAGCUUUCAUCCUUGCUUUCCCCUCCACAUUAAGAAAUGUAACAAAAUAAAAUGGAAAUUUUGUUUCCAAAUGUGCUUUGGAAUCAAGGCUACAAUUUAUGCCUUCUUAUUAAAACUUAAGUGAUUAAUAUUAAAGUUUGUAGUUCUUAAAAGAUUAAGUAUUCCAAGUGCUUCUCAGCAGUCUAUGCUAAUUGAGCCCCCCUCAGUGGCACUAAGAGAUUCAUAAUGUACCGAGAGAGAAUUUAUACUGAAUUACAAACAAUUGGCCUUGGCUUUCAAAAUUCCAGUCUGGAAAAGAACAAUUAUUAGCAGAUGCUAAUGACUUAAAAAGAGAAGUCAUAAUGAUGUCCAGUGUUUGAGGGGUGUAAACAGAAAGAAUGGCAGCGUAAUGUAGCUAAUUAUGUAGCGGAGCAGCACCACUCACAUGACCUCCCUCUCACUGAGUCGCUGCUGCAUUCUGGGAUGGAGGAGGGAAGGGGCAUGGUGGUGGCAAGGUUGACAUGGUGCAAAUGUCAGUAGGAAUGCCAGAUUACCUCUGCCAGCAUGUUUGCACCACACCCACCUCACUGCUCUGUUGUCCUUUAACCUGGUUUGCAGAAGCAACUCAGCCAGAGGGAAGUCAGGUAAGCAGUGCAUUCCCAGUGCAUUUCUUGACUUCUGGCGCAGCUGCCAUGACAAACUGCCGAUACCAUGAUAGCGGAUGCCAGCCGUGCAGUUAAUUAAGGAUAAUUUGGGAGUAUUAUCCCCAGGGUUGGUGGGGGGGAGCUUUCUCUCAUGGAUCGUCCGAUAACUGCUUCUGGUUCCGAUGGAAUGCGGAGUCAGGGAUGCAGAGGGCAUAGUACUGCCCAUAUUGGAAACUCCCCAAUGCGGUUGCCAUGAGCGAAGGUAUCUCUGUUUCUUUUAAGAUGUGUCUGAAUUUGGACUAAAGAAACAGACGUGUUUUGGAAGAAGAAGAAAGAUAACCUGCAAAAUGAAUCAGCCACUGAGUGGUAAGGUUUUGAUCUGGAGAGGACUCUUGUCAUCGUAAUUGGAAUGCUACGUAAGUGAAGGGAGCCUUUAUACAUUAUUUUUGCUGUGCUAUGAAUUGGAAAGCCUUCACUGAAAAAGAAUCAAAUAUUAAUGGAAGGAAAUUACUAAUGGAUUACAACUAUAUAUGGAAUGCAAGAGGGAUUCAACAAGAACUUAUAAUUUUCUUUACGGGGUGCUUGAAAGGAUAGACUGUGUGAAAUACUGUGAUGACUUGUAACAUUUCCAACUAAAGAGAGCUCUAGUUCUGAUUUAUGAUGGUUUUGGUGUGACGCAGAUGGACUUGUUUCUGCUUUCGGUUUCAGAGAGGCAAAAUUGAGCUGCGACGCACCUAGAAAUGAGCUUUUGAAGGAGGGGCAAUGUUGAAGAAAAUUGACUGAUUAUAACGUGAAGGAAAUGAAGAAGGUAAACAAAUAUUUCACACAGCUACAGGAUAUAAUUUCCCUCUGCAAGUUAAUGGAUUUGGAUUUAUUAAACACGAUCAAAAGUCAUCACAUCAGUGGCUGCUAGAACAAAGGAUUAAGAUAGGAAUUGUGGAACUUGGACUAAUUAAGAGAAUUGGCACAGGAUCAAGGAAUAUCAACUCCUGAUAGCCGGAACACGGAAAGUCAUCCAAAUAUGUUUCAUUCGGAACUGUUUAAUUGGCUCUUUUGAUUUUAUUGUGAUUUCGCACGAUUUGGCAUUGUAUUAAUGUGGCC